GCAGUGGGGAAUAUUGCACAGGCGCAAGCCUGAUGCAGCCAUGCCGCGUGUAUGAAGAAGGCCUUCGGGUUGUAAAGUACUUUCAGCGGGGAGGAAGGGAGAAGUUAAUACCUUUGCUCAUUGACGUUACCCGCAGAAGAAGCACCGGCUAACUCCGUGCCAGCAGCCGCGGUAAUACGGAGGGGCAAGCGUUAAUCGGAAUUACUGGGCGUAAAGCGCACGCAGGCGGUUUGUUAAGUCAGAUGUGAAAUCCCCGGGCUCAACCUGGAACUGCAUCUGA
rnacentral:rRNA from 1 species